GGCCGGACGGGGCAGCCUGCUCGGCAGGCAGCGGGCAGCCUCCGCCCGCGGGUGGGUAAGCGGUGGUUCCCGGGUCAGGGAGCCUGCAGAGGGGCUCACAGCACUUCUGCAGCUGUUGUCUGUUUCUCCGGUUCCCAGAAAUACCCUUCCCUUUUGAAAAGACUUCUUUUUGCUUUGAAGCUACGGGCUGGAGGAUUUACAAUACUUGCCCCAGGUCGCAACACAAGGUCAGACUGGGUGUGGCCAAUCAUUUCAGUUGGUUGGACUCAUGAUAGAGAAGGAGAUGUUUUCAUCUGUUGGAGGUGGGAGGACGUGCUCUUCAGGCCUUUCAGAUGCUGCUUACAGAAGGAUGGCUGAAGGACAUUAGCCCCUCCAGAUCUAGCCUCAGAGUGACACCUCUACACAUACAAGAUUUACCCGCCUAUUAAUGUGCUGCCCUCGUUGUCUCGGUGAAUGAAGUCUGCUACUGGAGAAGGUAUGACCAGAAAGGAUCACGCCGAUGUAUCUAACCAGCUGUAUGCAUGCUAUGCUAUUGGUAAGGAUGUGCAGGCCAUGAAAGCCGUAGUUGGAGAAGAAGCCCUUACCUCAGAUGAUGUGCUUUACUUGGAAUUUCUGCAGAAGUUUGAGAGGAACUUCAUUGCUCAGGGUCCUUACGAAAACCGCACUGUCUAUGAGACUUUGGACAUUGGCUGGCAACUGCUCCGACUCUUCCCCAAAGAAAUGCUGAAGAGAAUCCCUCAGAGCACCUUGAGCGAACUCUACCCUCGAGAGUCUGCAAAGCAGUAGCUGCUACUUCAUCGCUGGCUCGAUGCUCUUGUGAAAUACUGGUUCUGUUUUCUUUAUUCCUUUUGCACUCCCCCAUCCCCACCUUUGUGUUGGAGUUUACUGUGUUGCCCUGUAAUUAAAAACAAAGAAUAGGUAACAUAUUGUGCCAGUGUUGCAAUGUUUUAAACUGCUAACAGACUUUAAAAUAUCCCCUGUUCAGAAAACCUGGACCUGCAAUGCUUUGUUUAAAGUAGCUGAGGGUUGGAGGUGAGGUUUUCGUACUGAUGUGUGUAUUUGUACGUAGUGGUGUAGUUAGCUGCCUAGUGUCCUCAUUAUUUGGGUCUCUCAGACCUUCCCUGUCCACCCCCUCCAGAGUAUCACUAUCUGAAGUUCUGAUGCUUUGAUCUCCAAACUAGGGACAAGAUAGGGUCUGAAAGAC